rnacentral:rRNA from 1 species
CAAUAGCGUAUAUUAAAGUUGUUGCGGUUAAAAAGCUCGUAGUUGGAUUUCUGCUGAGAACGACCGGUCCGCCCUCUGGGUGUGUAUCUGGCUCUUUCUUGGCAUCUUCUUGGUGAACGUUGCUGCACUUGACUGUGUGGAGCGCUACCCAGGACUUUUACUUUGAGGAAAUUAGAGUGUUUCAAGCAGGCAUACGCCUUGAAUACACUAGCAUGGAAUAAUAAGAUAGGACCUCGGUUCUAUUUUGUUGGUUUCUAGGACCGAAGUAAUGAUUAAUAGGGAUAGUUGGGGGCAUUAGUAUUUAAUUGUCAGAGGUGAAAUUCUUGGAUUUAUGAAAGACUAACAUCUGCGAAAGCAUUUGCCAAGGAUGUUUNCAUUGA